rnacentral:rRNA from 1 species
GAUGAACGCUGGCGGCGUGCCUAAUACAUGCAAGUCGAGCGAACAGACGAGGAGCUUGCUCCUCUGACGUUAGCGGCGGACGGGUGAGUAACACGUGGAUAACCUACCUAUAAGACUGGGAUAACUUCGGGAAACCGGAGCUAAUACCGGAUAAUAUAUUGAACCGCAUGGUUCAAUAGUGAAAGACGGUUUUGCUGUCACUUAUAGAUGGAUCCGCGCCGCAUUAGCUAGUUGAUAAGGUAACGGCUUACCAAGGCGACGAUGCGUAGCCGACCUGAGAGGGUGAUCGGCCACACUGGAACUGAGACACGGUCCAGACUCCUACGGGAGGCAGCAGUAGGGAAUCUUCCGCAAUGGGCGAAAGCCUGACGGAGCAACGCCGCGUGAGUGAUGAAGGUCUUCGGAUCGUAAAACUCUGUUAUUAGGGAAGAACAAAUGUGUAAGUAACUAUGCACGUCUUGACGGUACCUAAUCAGAAAGCCACGGCUAACUACGUG